UAACUUAGAGGGCGGAUCCUUUUUCAAAUUCUUAGCUUUUUCUACAUGUAUUUUUUUUUCUUUUUCUUUCUUUUUACUGGGUCAUUCACCUAUUUGCAUCGGCUUGUUCACGUAGUGGUAACUAAGAUGGUGUUGACUUCUAAAAUAAACUACUUAAGGAUUAAUUCAAGGGUGAGAUUUCAAGGCCAUAACAUAAUAAGUAUUUAGAUCGGUUCUUAUAAUUAAGAAACUUACGGUGUUAGAA
rnacentral:lncRNA from 1 species